ensembl:lncRNA
UAAACCAGGACUAAACCUGGACUGAACCAGGACUAAACCAGGUCUAAACCAGGACUAAACCAGGACUAAACCAGAACUAAACCAGGACUAAACCAGGUCUAAACCAGGACUAAACCAGGACUAAACCAGGACUAAACCUGGACUGAACCAGGACUAAACCAGGACUAAACCAGAACUAAACCAGGACUAAACCAGGACUAAACCAGGACUAAACCAGAACUAAACCAGGACUAAACCAGGACUAAACCAGGACUAAACCAGAACUAAACCAGGACUAAACCAGGACUAAACCAGGACUGAACCAGGACUAAACCAGGACUAAACCAGGUCUAAACCAGGUCUAAACCAGGUCUAAAUCAGGACUAAACCAGGACUAAACCAGGUCUAAACCAGGUCUAAAUCAGGACUAAACCAGGACUAAACCAGAUCUAAACCAGGACUAAACCAGGACUAAACCAGGACUAAACCAGGACUAAACCAGG